UCUGCACCUGGAGGCUUUGCAGGUAUGACUGCUGUUUUACAUGUGUGUUAAUAAGUGGCAGAGAGGAGGCAUUCUAUGUCUACACUCAGUUUUCUAAGCGAUAAAUAUCUGAAAGAUUAGUAGCCUAAUCAU
ensembl:snoRNA Gm25161 small nucleolar RNA SNORA17